rnacentral:lncRNA from 1 species
GUCGUCAUUCUCAAUUUUAAUGUUUUUUCUCUUUUUCUAAUGCAUCUCUAUAUCUCUCAUUCUUGUUUCCUAUGCACCACAUCAUUUUAUUACUCCUCCUUAAUUCUCGAUCCAUAACGACAAAUAAUAUGGGACAGUGAGAGUAGUUGAUAUACACUCUUUGCUAAUUCAAUUCAGAGUGCCAACUCUCAUUCUCUCAACAACUACGGAUUAAUGAUUGAUGAGACGACAUGGCGAAACAAUAGGCACAUUUGGCAGGGUUCUAGGUUCUCGAAGAGAAGUUUUGGAUCAUUUUCCAUCGUAAACAUUUCUCUAAUGAUUUAGAAUCACUUCAUGAAAUCAUUUGACUAGCUCGCUAGAUUCAUGAAAAUAGAACUACAUUCAAAAUAAAUUAGGUUUUAAGUGUUACUUGUAAAAAAACAAAAAAAAAGUUCCAAAUGAUUCUUCCUGAAACCGUUUGGCAGUGAUUUUAUUAAGAAUUUGAAACACUUUUUGCUGCCGAACACAUCGUAAGUUUCUGAUCAAGUCUCUCGGUAGUCUAUUGUGAUUGGUUUUCAAUAUGCAGAUGGAUGUUGUCAAAACAUAAAAUGCAGACGGGUGAUUGCUCGGGAUCGAGCGACGAUGGUAGAAUUGGGUGCC